UACGUAGGGUGCGAGCGUUGUCCGGAAUUAUUGGGCGUAAAGAGCUCGUAGGUGGUUUGUCGCGUUGUUCGUGAAAACUCACAGCUUAACUGUGGGCGUGCGGGCGAUACGGGCAGACUGGAGUACUGCAGGGGAGACUGGAAUUCCUGGUGUAGCGGUGAAAUGCGCAGAUAUCAGGAGGAACACCAGCGGCGAAGGCGGCGCUCUGGGCCGGAACUGACGCUGAGGAGCGAAAGCGUGGGGAGCGAACAGG
rnacentral:rRNA from 1 species